rnacentral:rRNA from 1 species
AUGGGAUUCUGCCCCUCCCCUCCUCCUCUUGCUCGUUCGUCACCUCUGCUAGCCCAACCACCAAACCCCAACCCUAACCUCACUUGCUUCGCCUGCCACCAGCCCGGCCACUUCCAGUCCCGUUGCUUCAAUCCCCCGUUCUGUCUCAUUUGCAGAGAGGAUGGCCAUCUCACGAUGGAUUGUCAGAACCGCCGCAAGCCUGCCUCUUUCAUGCUUUAUGGCCAAGGUCUCCCUGGUUGUUCCUUCUAUGCCCUCGACGGCGAGAUCCCACAGGUGGCAGUUGCCCCUGCCCUAUCCAAUGCUGUUAUUCACCAUCAAAGACCACAAGAUCUCCUGGACGAACUGAAGCUUUGGGAUGAUGGAGGCUGGGACUGGCAGAUCCGGCAGCUCUCUGACUUUGAAUUUGCUGCGGUUUUCCCUUCUAAAGGCAGCCUCAAAAUGAUCUCCUCCUGCACCAGCUUUACCCUCCCUCUCAACCAGCUCGUGGUCUCGGUGAAAGCGACCUCUAAUGGCGCCAAGCCUAUUUCCCCCUCUCGGAGAUCUGGGUCCUCAUUGACGAUAUCCCUCCUACCCCGCGUUCUUCUGAAUUUGUGA